rnacentral:rRNA from 2 species
AACUCUGGUAUUGAUUGGUGCUUGCAUCAUGAUUUACAUUUGAGUGAGUGGCGAACUGGUGAGUAACACGUGGGAAACCUGCCCAGAAGCGGGGGAUAACACCUGGAAACAGAUGCUAAUACCGCAUAACAACUUGGACCGCAUGGUCCGAGUUUGAAAGAUGGCUUCGGCUAUCACUUUUGGAUGGUCCCGCGGCGUAUUAGCUAGAUGGUGAGGUAACGGCUCACCAUGGCAAUGAUACGUAGCCGACCUGAGAGGGUAAUCGGCCACAUUGGGACUGAGACACGGCCCAAACUCCUACGGGAGGCAGCAGUAGGGAAUCUUCCACAAUGGACGAAAGUCUGAUGGAGCAACGCCGCGUGAGUGAAGAAGGGUUUCGGCUCGUAAAACUCUGUUGUUAAAGAAGAACAUAUCUGAGAGUAACUGUUCAGGUAUUGACGGUAUUUAACCAGAAAGCCACGGCUAACUACGUGCCAGCAGCCGCGGUAAUACGUAGGUGGCAAGCGUUGUCCGGAUUUAUUGGGCGUAAAGCGAGCGCAGGCGGUUUUUUAAGUCUGAUGUGAAAGCCUUCGGCUCAACCGAAGAAGUGCAUCGGAAACUGGGAAACUUGAGUGCAGAAGAGGACAGUGGAACUCCAUGUGUAGCGGUGAAAUGCGUAGAUAUAUGGAAGAACACCAGUGGCGAAGGCGGCUGUCUGGUCUGUAACUGACGCUGAGGCUCGAAAGUAUGGGUAGCAAACAGGAUUAGAUACCCUGGUAGUCCAUACCGUAAACGAUGAAUGCUAAGUGUUGGAGGGUUUCCGCCCUUCAGUGCUGCAGCUAACGCAUUAAGCAUUCCGCCUGGGGAGUACGGCCGCAAGGCUGAAACUCAAAGGAAUUGACGGGGGCCCGCACAAGCGGUGGAGCAUGUGGUUUAAUUCGAAGCUACGCGAAGAACCUUACCAGGUCUUGACAUACUAUGCAAAUCUAAGAGAUUAGACGUUCCCUUCGGGGACAUGGAUACAGGUGGUGCAUGGUUGUCGUCAGCUCGUGUCGUGAGAUGUUGGGUUAAGUCCCGCAACGAGCGCAACCCUUAUUAUCAGUUGCCAGCAUUAAGUUGGGCACUCUGGUGAGACUGCCGGUGACAAACCGGAGGAAGGUGGGGAUGACGUCAAAUCAUCAUGCCCCUUAUGACCUGGGCUACACACGUGCUACAAUGGAUGGUACAACGAGUUGCGAACUCGCGAGAGUAAGCUAAUCUCUUAAAGCCAUUCUCAGUUCGGAUUGUAGGCUGCAACUCGCCUACAUGAAGUCGGAAUCGCUAGUAAUCGCGGAUCAGCAUGCCGCGGUGAAUACGUUCCCGGGCCUUGUACACACCGCCCGUCACACCAUGAGAGUUUGUAACACCCAAAGUCG